AGCUAUAGAAGCUAAAAUAUACAAGCAUUGGUCUUGUAAGCCAAAGAUUGGGUCAGACCCCUUUAGUUU
rnacentral:tRNA from 1 species